rnacentral:rRNA from 1 species
AUUGAACGCUGGCGGCAGGCCUAACACAUGCAAGUCGAGCGAGUGGCGGACGGGUGAGUAAUGUCUGGGAAACUGCCUGAUGGAGGGGGAUAACUACUGGAAACGGUAGCUAAUACCGCAUACCAUCAGCUGGGCCCAGAUGGGAUUAGCUGGUAGGUGGGGUAAUGGCUCCCCUAGGCGACGAUCCCUAGCUGGUCUGAGAGGAUGACCAGCCACACUGGAACUGAGACACGGUCCAGACUCCUACGGGAGGCAGCAGUGGGGAAUAUUGCACAAUGGGCGCAAGCCUGAUGCAGCCAUGCCGCGUGUAUGAAGAAGGCCUUCGGGUUGUAAAGUACUUUCAGCGGGGAGGCGUGACCCGCAGAAGAAGCACCGGCUAACUCCGUGCCAGCAGCCGCGGUAAUAG